UUGAAUUUAAAUUGUGUAUAUGUAAAACACGAAAUGAUGUAGGAUGUAUAAUGAUGGAUGAAAUUAAACCUUAUAUAAGUUUUAUUAUACUAUAUAUUAUAUAACUUUAUAUUAUAUAACUUUAUUCAGUUUUAAGAAAUUGCAGUAUAAAAUAUUUCUACAUUUCUAUUGUAUUUUGGUUUCACUUAACUAUCAUAAGGAUGUGUUUUAUCAUGAUUGAUUUUAUUUAACUGUUAUAGUUAUAAUGAUAUAAUGUUAUGACCUGCAAGUUAGUAGAUUAAAGUGAAAUGUCCCGUAUUGUAUUAUACUAUAAGUAUUACAUUUAGAUUUGUUUAAUCAGCGUAUCUUAUCAUGACGAUUGCAUAUGAAUUUAAUCAUAUGUUUCCCAGUAGCUAAACGUCGUUACUGGUGGUCAUAACCCAUUUAAACAAUGUUUCCUUUUUUCUUCUAAUGAAAUAUCACAAAGAAUAGGGUUUCAGUUAUAUUUUAUAAUAUUUCAUUAUGAAAUAUUCAUAUAUAUGUUGUUCAAUGAUAAUCAAUUUCCACUAAAAUUCAUUUAAUUUUCAAUAAUGAAUGAAAAUUAAUUAAACAUUUUAAACAAAAAUUAGUAAACACACAAAGAGAAUAUGUAUUUUUAUAUUUAUAUUUUUGCUCGCUUGUACCACAUACGUUUGUUUACGCUCAUUAGAAGAAAUUCGCUGAGUAGAAAACAGUAAGUGCAACUGCGUUCUUCGAGACCAACAAAGUAAAUAAAAAACAGUUUCUUAGUUGCGCGAACUUGCGACGAUUACAUGGAAUAUACAAGUUUCGAAAAUAACAUUUAUUGUCCAACAAUACAUACAUUUACAAUACGAUAUAUUUAAAUUAUUAACCGCAUCAUUCCUUAUUCAGGAAUUUUAUGACCAUGAAAUUGUCCUCAUUAAUAAGGAUAAAUCAAUUUCAGAUGGAUCGACUUUUAUUCGUGCAAAUAUAAAUAUUACAUAAUAUAUUUACGACACGAACGAAAUAAGUGAUUAAAAAAUAGAACAUUAGAACCUGUAAAUAAAGAAAUUAUUAUAUUAAAAAAGAUUAAGACUCUGAGUGACGAGUUAAUUCGUCUUCUUCAGUUCACAAUUUAACACCAAAUAAUAUAUACAGUGAUAAAUCAAAGUAUUGGCACAAACCACAUUUUCUCUCAAAAUAUUGCACAAAACUUGCAAAACACGAUAUUUUUGUAAAAUGUAAUUUUCAAGUAUAAAAUUUAGGUAUAUUAUAAUUUAUUAUUAGUAAGCAGCUAUAGAAUAAAAAUGAAUAAUAAAAGACGCGUAACUGAAUAUUUUUAAUAUUUUAAUGUGAUAUUAGAUUUAAAAUAUCAUAAAAUUGAUACGAGACAAUCAGUCCUAGAAUUAUUUCGAAACCGAUGUAAAGUCAAAAAAAUAAUUUAAAGGCGAUAUAAGAAUCGACAUACAACAGAAUAUAUCGUAAUUCAUAUUGGUAAACAGUAAGCAGUUGCAUAAUAAAAAUAAAUAAUAAAAAACGCAUAAUAUAGCAUCUUCGUUAUAAGAACUCUUCGUGGAAUUGUAUCAAAUAAUUUUUCAAUGAACUUAUUUUGUACUAUUUACCAUUCUGCUUUUACGAUUUUAAACAAGCUUGUUGCAUUUUUUAAAUUCAGAAGCUUAUUGUAUCGUUCAUCGUUGAUUAUUAGUAAUUAGUCAAUAUAGCAUAUAGUAAUAGCAGUAGUUAGUAGUAGUAGUUUAGCAAUCAACUACGAUUAACAAGGGAAGAUCUCUAGCCCGGAAAUUCGAAAAAUUAUGAAAAUUCGGAGAUAUGUAGAGCAUAUAUAGCCAUGUAUAGCGCAAUUUUCUUCUCUUGCCCAAAUUCGUUCUGAGGAGGUAAAAUCGACUCCUGAAAAUUCGACCAUUUUCCGAUUUUAUGUUAUAAUUCGCAAACUAUAAGAGUUAAACUAUAAAAGCUUUUAGAUAAAAAUUGUUUAUUUUUUUCAACGAAGGCUAUCGUUUGGUAAAAGAUUUGGCAAUUAUUUAGAAAGCUGCAAUCAUCUUGGAUUUCGGUGAUUUUUUAAUAUACUAUAAAAAUCAAAAUUUUGAAUAACUUUUUUUUGCAUCUACCACUGCUCGGGCUUAGUUUCCGAGAUAUCUGCAAAAGACCUGUCGGAUAUAAUUGUAUAUCCGUGGUAUGUAUAUCCAAUGUAUUCGCCAAUGUUUACAGCUUAUAUAAGUGGGUUAGGUGUUAUUUAAUUCCGUAGUCACGAUGAGACGACCGACAAUCAAUACUAAUGUAUACGCUAUCAUGGUCACACAAUUAUAAGUAGAAUUCAUUAUGAGCUGCCGACAAAAACUUUUUUGAGAUUAUCUCGAAAACUAUGGUCCCCGACCACAUAUAAAAAAUACGUCGAAAUGCAAGAUGCCGGUAGCUUCCUAAAUAUAUAAUUACCAAAGAUUUAUCAUUUGUUUAUAUAAUUAGAAAAAAGUUAUAAAGAAAGUAAUUGAUAAUUUUUCAAAAAAACUCAUUCUUUGGCGUAAAAUCUUAAUCAAUGAUUUAAAUAAUUAUGAAACAACAUAAAAAAACAUAUAGUUAUUUUUUAAUAUAAAUGCAAUCUUUGUUGCAUUGUUGAAUUGUGUUCUUCGACAAUCGAAGAACUUCUCAAUUUCAUUGUACACAUACUAUGAUAUGCUGACGUGCAAUAAAAAAUUUUCGGUGCACAUGUAUGCACCUGACGCAUCAUAUAACGCAGGUAUGCAUUCAGUUGUGCGAAACAAAGAAAAAUAUAAGGACUAACGUAUCUAAUGACAAAGUAAUAAAUAAUAAGUAAACAUGCAAUGACCAUUUUAGUGUUCGCAGUGAGGACUAGAUAUGGACGCUUAUCUGAGGAAGUGACAUCUGCGAAUUCAACUAAAGAAAGGAGAAGGGAUGGAUAUGAGAGAGAUACUGAUAUUGGGCACGUGUAAACGUGGACUCGAGCGUCAAUCCAUAUUUGCUCGAAAUAAUCGAUAAGGAACGGUGUCAAGUUUCAUUUAACACUAUCUCAUUCGGCAUGCUCGAAACUCACGUCGAAGUCCCAUUUCCAAGAAUUAGUGGCGUUAGCGACGUAUGCUUAAAUGGGCACUACAAGUAAAAUAGUAAUAAACAUACAGCGUUGAAAGUUAGCAUUUGUCUAGUGAAAACAGAUUAACAAUAAAAAAAUGCUGCUUUCUUUGUAGUGCGCUAUAAUACAGUACUAUAUGUGUCAACAAUAAGUAAGUAUAUCUAAGUAUAGUCUCUGUAACGAACGUAUAAAAAUGAUUCAUGUAAAUCCUACAAAUACUAUUCGUUUAUUUACGAUUACGUUAAAAAUUAUGGAUAAUAACAAUAUAAUGAUAUAUUAUAAUGAGAAGAGAAAUCGACUUACAAGAUAUAAUAAAAGAUACGCUUAUUGUAUUAAUUUGUGGAACCGUUUAAACCACAUUCUGUAGAAUUUCUGGAUAGUAUAUAACGAGGUCCACGCGAAGAAUUUUCAGAAGCGAUAGAGAUCUAAGAUGAGUGUGUACCAGAAUAAUAUUAUUUAUUGUGACCUUAGAAUACAAAAUUAAUGUUGUUACGUUUUGGAGAAGUGGAAAGAGGACGCGACUUUCCCUAGACAAUCCCAGGCACAAAUUUUGAAAAGUUUCAUCUCUUUAACAAUUGUAUAAGUGUAUAAUUGUAUAGUUAUCUAUCCGUUUUGUAUCUAUGCAUAAUUGCCUUAUUUAGAUUAUUAGAUGGAAAGAGACGGUAAACAGACGGAGAACACGGCGGGAAAAAUUGUUACAAAUUUCCGAAUAUGUUUAUAACAAGUUUGUUAACGCUCAUGCUGUUAUUCGUUAUUUGAGCUUUUGAAGAUGGACACUAGAAGCUAUUGAAGAAAUAGGUUCGAGAAAUUUAAAAGCUAACAUUUUUCAAACUGGAUUUUCAAUUUUAAGAAAACUUAAAGUUGAUAAUAUAGAAUAGUGUCAAAAAAUUAAACAAAUUUAUUACUCGAUUAUAUGGCAUUGAUACCACGCAAUUAAAUGAAAUUGCUUCGUCUUUUGUUAAUAAUGUAAAACCUCAAACUAGAAAUAUCGGAAAAUACGUACUGUACAGUUAGCGGAUUAGAUAGAAUUACAUUAUGGCUGUACUUUAUCUAGGCAAGGAUCAAAAACGGUUAUGGCUGUUGUGAAGUCUAUAUCAGCUACAACACACAGUUGUACUAAACUCCCCAUAAUAUCAACUUCUGGGAAAUUUAUUUAACCGCUUUUUAUUGUUCUAAAAGAAUAGAAUGGUAAUUUUGUUCCACGUGUACAACAAUCUUUGUUUCGACAAUGGAAUGUUGAUAUAGUGGCCUUCACAUCUGGAAAGUUAACCAAAGAACUGUUCAAUGAAUAGUUAACAAACGUAUAUCUAUCAAAUGCAGAAUCUCGGAAGUUACUGACAUCGUGAUUUGAUCAAUGUUAAUCUACAUUACAAAAUAGUAUCAUGUUGUAAUCAGCAUGUUGAAAUAUUCACAAUAUCGAAUACAGGAAUAAUGUAACUGAUAUAUAUAUAUAUAUACAGUUCCGCAUAACGAAGAACUUUAUAUGAAUAUUUUCCGAUCUUGUAGUACUAUUUAAUUGCGAUGAUUGAUAUCAUUAAAUUACAGUUUCUUAUUUUAUCUCUAUUUUCAUCACCAAAACCGUAAGGUGUAUAUACAUACUUGUUUACACUUGGUAUAAAGGUGAAUAUUAUAUCGAUAGAAAGGAAACAAAUUAUUAAUGCCAGAAAUCCAGUAGAUUUCGCUUCCUCACAACAAGUUUAUCUUAAACAUUGUUUUGCAGAAUUUCAUUAUCAUAAAGAAUGAUUCAUAAUAUAAUUCACACGAUAUUUGUAUUUUCGAAAUUAUUUAUCUAUUUUUGAAGUGUUUAUUUAGAUACAUAAAAUUAGAUGAGGAAUUGCUAGAAUAACUGGACGGGCAAGUGGAGAGGAAACCAGGGGAAAUAGAGAAGAAGCAUACAUUAGAAUAUAUUUGAAUUAUUAUAUAAUUAGAAAAGAGAAGGGAAGAGUAAUUAAAUAACAAAUACAUCUUGAUUAUGUGAAUAAUAUUAUGAUGUUUUUCCCGCAUAUUUUACGAAUUCUUGGAGUAUUACUAAUCACUAUAUAUUACAUCCGAAAAUAUCAAAAUGUACAAAUAGUGAAAUAAAUAACUUACUUACUUA